UACGGGGGGGGCAAGCGUUGUUCGGAAUUACUGGGCGUAAAGGGUCUGUAGGUGGCCAACUAAGUCAGACGUGAAAUCCCUCAGCUUAACUGGGGAACUGCGUCUGAUACUGGUUGGCUUGAGUGCAGGAGAGGAAUGCGGAAUUCCAGGUGUAGCGGUGAAAUGCGCAGAUAUCAGGAGGAACACCGAUGGCGAAGGCAGGUCUCUGGGCAUUAACUGACGCUGAGGAGCGAAAGCGUGGGGAGCGAACAGG
rnacentral:rRNA from 1 species